rnacentral:rRNA from 1 species
AUCUCGAAUUUAGAAGAGCUACCUAUUUUACUGUUAUAAGUAUUUAUUACAUGAAAUUAAACGUUAAUAUAUCUAGUUUUCCAAGAAAAUUUAAUUUUUUUAUAUUUUUAGGGAUGAGCUAAAAAUAGGAUUAGAAUUUUUGUUAUAAUUACUUUAUUGGAUUUAUUUUAUUAAUUAAUUAUGGAAUAAUGAUUAAAUUAGUAAAAGAUUAGGAAAAGGAAUUCGGCAAAUAUUCUUCACCUGUUUAUUAAAAACAUGGCCUUUUGAUUAUAAUUUAAGGUCUAACCUGCCCGAUGAGGCCGCGGUAUUUUGACCGUGCAAAGGUAGCAUAAUAAUUAGUUUUUUAAUUGAAAGCUGGAAUGAAUGGUUGAAUGAGGGAAUUACUGUCUCUUUCUAAUAGAAUUUUAUUUUUAGGUAAAAAAGCCUAAAUUUUAUUGAUAGACGAGAAGACCCUUUAGAGUUUUAUUUUGAUUGGGGCGAUUGAAAAAUUAAUUAAACUUUUGAUUACAAGAUAAAAUUACCUAAGGGAUAACAGCGUAAUUUUUCUUAGAGUUCAAAUCUACAGAAUAGUUUGCGACCUCGA